GAUGAACGCUAGCUACAGGCUUAACACAUGCAAGUCGAGGGGCAGCAUGAGGUCAGCUUGCUGACUUUGAUGGCGACCAGCGCACGGGUGAGUAACGCGUAUCCAACCUUCCCCUGUCUCGGGCAUAACCCGGUGAAAACCGGACUAAUUCCCGAUGUUGUUCCUUGACGGCAUCAGAUUGGAACCAAAGAUUUAUCGGACAGGGAUGGGGAUGCGUCUGAUUAGGUAGUUGGUGAGGUAACGGCCCACCAAGCCUUCGAUCAGUAGGGGUUCUGAGAGGAAGGUCCCCCACAUUGGAACUGAGACACGGUCCAAACUCCUACGGGAGGCAGCAGUGAGGAAUAUUGGUCAAUGGGCGAGAGCCUGAACCAGCCAAGUAGCGUGCAGGAUGACGGCCCUAUGGGUUGUAAACUGCUUUUAUACGGGGAUAAAGUUGGGGACGUGUCCCCAUUUGUAGGUACCGUAUGAAUAAGGACCGGCUAAUUCCGUGCCAGCAGCCGCCGUAAUAC
rnacentral:rRNA from 1 species